UUACCGGCUUGACAUCUAAGAAACCCGCAACAGGUGCUGCAUGGCUGUCGUCAGCUCGUGCCGUGAGGUGUUGGGUUAAGUCCCGCAACGAGCGCAACCCUGUGUUAGUUGCUAGUUGAAGCGACUCUAGCAGACUGCCGGUACAACCGGAGGAAGGUGGGGAUGACGUCAAGUCAGUAUGGUCCUUAUGCCGGGCUGCACACGUGCUACAAUGGGGUACAUGGGGCACCGCGAGGGGAGCAAUCCCCAAACCUCCCCAGUUCGGAUUGGAGUCUGCAACUCGACUCCAUGAAGCCGGAAUCGCUAGUAAAGGCGAUCAGCACGCGCCUUGAAUACGUUCCCGGGCCUUGUACACACCGCCCGUCACAUCACGAAAGUUGAUGACCGAA
rnacentral:rRNA from 1 species